rnacentral:pre_miRNA from 1 species
AAAUCGCUCCAUAAGUUUUGCAACUGUAGCAGUUUUGGCCUCCCAAGAUCAAUUUUUGGUAAAAAAAAAAAAAAAACGUGGUAUCUCACUUAGAGUGUCACGUCAGCGUAAACCGAGUCAAAAUUGACAUUGGAGGCCAAAAUUGCCACAGAUGCAAAACUUAGAGGGCGGAUU